UACGUAGGGUGCGAGCGUUGUCCGGAAUUAUUGGGCGUAAAGGGCUCGUAGGCGGUCUGUCACGUCGGGAGUGAAAACACGGGGCUUAACCCCGUGCCUGCUUCCGAUACGGGCAGACUAGAGGUAUGCAGGGGAGAACGGAAUUCCUGGUGUAGCGGUGAAAUGCGCAGAUAUCAGGAGGAACACCGAUGGCGAAGGCAGUGAUCUGGGCCAGUACUGACGCUGAGGAGCGAAAGCGUGGGUAGCAAACAGG
rnacentral:rRNA from 1 species